GGGGGUGACAAGGCUUCGACUUGAGUUUUCACCCGAUAUUGGUGGCAUGCCGAGGAUGUCUAGUUGGCCUCGUUAAAUAUCUAGGCAAAUAAUAAACGCAGAUAACCUAAUCGCGAAAGCUAACGAGAUUGUUGAACCAAUCUUCGCUGGCGAACCAGUUCUUGCUUAAAUAAGCAAGGCCCUUUUUCAAGAUUUUGUCUACGGGUUUUGAAAAAGGACAUUUAGUAGGCUGGCUUUGUUGAUCGCCUUUGUUGACAAAGUGAGACUCAAAGGCUAGUUUUGAUAAUGUUUGUUUGUUUAAAGUGAUCAAAGCGAAGUUCAAAAAACAAACUAUGCAUGUAGAGGCUUUUAUUAGGUAUCCCAAGGACCGGGGUUCGAUUCCCCGCACCUCCACCA
rnacentral:tmRNA from 1 species